rnacentral:lncRNA from 1 species
CUAGAUCUGUGACAUGUGGCAAUAAAUAAUUCAAUGGUCUAGAUUAGAAAAGAAAAAAGAAAAGAAAGAAACACAUAAACGUAAAUUCCCACUUAUUCUUCCCUUACACAAUAUCACGGUUCAUAUUCCUUGCUAGAUCAUUCAUCUCCUUGAAACUCGCGGCUAAAAUAAGCUCUUUCUCCGUCUCAACACCAUUCUCCGCCGUCACCUCUCUUUGUCACUACCAGCACCGCUGUUGUUGUUUCCGUUUCGCCAUCAUUUUCACUGUUUCAGUUUAAGAUUGAUGGAAAAUAAUAUCAGCUAUGUCAAUGCUCCAUUGUUCACUAUGUUGCACGGGUACUCCGUUUUAGACAGAGUACCGGUACCGGGUACGUACCGGGUACCGGUACGCGUAUGGUACUCCCAUGGUACGUACCCUCAAAGUACCGAGUUUUUUUGUUUGUUUUUUCNNNNNNNNNNUUUUUUUUUUUUUUGCAACACUUUCCAAUCCCAUUCUUCUUUUAUUUGUUUAUUUUUUUAAUAAAGAUUCAUUUUAGUUUAAAAUUAGAAUCAAUUCGGUCUCCUUCCCUUUUUAUUUAUUUUUAAAAGUAGAGUCGCAUAGUCUUACUACUACUCCUAAUUUCCUAAACGUGUAAACCACAAUACUUUUAAAGUUUGCUAUUUUUUAUGUUUAAUUAUUUUUUUAAGAAUAUAAUUUUAUUAUUUUAAGUAUAUAACUAUAUUAAAAAAAAUUAUACAAGCGUACCCGUACCUUAAUUUUUCUAAAAAUACCGUACCACGUACCGGUACCGGUACCGGAUACCAGUACCGUACCCGCACCUGUGCAACAUAGUUCAAUACAUACAUAUGCAAAUAAUAGAUAAAAAGAAUUUAACAAAUGGUUCACAAUAUGGAAUGUAUCCUCUGCAUUUUUUAUGCAGAAAUUGGCAUAUGAUAACCACAAUUAAUCCUACGCUAUUCAAUAUGGAAUAUAUCAGCUAUGUUGGUUCAAGAUAAAAAAGAAUCACCCUCUUUGUUAUAACACAAAUACAAUAUUUGGUACAUAUUUUUGUUUUCUGCAUAAAAAAAUGCAGAAGAUUCAACAUAAUCAAAGAGGGAAGAUUACAUAAAAGUGAAACCUAAAAUUACAAUCAAACAGUUUUGAAUUUAAAUCAAACAAUCUUCAAUUUCAUUAGGACGGCGACUUCAUGGGUUAGCAGUUAGCACAUCUAGCUUGUUUGCAACUCGAAAAUUUGCAGUUCUUCGUGGAGGUUGGUGUAGCAGUGGUCGUGGUGGUCGAAAACUUGCAGUUCUUCGUGGAGGUUAAAACAUCCGUGACGGAAUAGGACAUACGGAGAGAGAUUGUUGUGGGUGGAGAUGGGAUAUGGAUGGUCAUGGCGGCAACAAGGUGAGACGCGACGGUGAAGCAAAGAAGAAGAGUUCAGAUCGAGAAACAAGG